rnacentral:rRNA from 1 species
AACCUCCGCAAUGUGAGAAAUCGCGACGGGGGGAUCCCAAGUGCCAUUCUUAACGGGAUGGCUUUUCAUUAGUGUAAAGAGCUUUUGGAAUAAGAGCUGGGCAAGACCGGUGCCAGCCGCCGCGGUAACACCGGCAGCUCUAGUGGUAGCAGUUUUUAUUGGGCCUAAAGCGUCCGUAGCCGGUUUAAUAAGUCUCUGGUGAAAUCCUGUAGCUUAACUGUGGGAAUUGCUGGAGAUACUAUUAGACUUGAGACCGGGAGAGGUUAGAGGUACUCCCAGGGUAGAGGUGAAAUUCUGUAAUCCUGGGAGGACCGCCUGUUGCGAAGGCGUCUAACUGGAACGGUUCUGACGGUGAGGGACGAAAGUUAGGGGCGCGAACCGGAUUAGAUACCCGGGUAGUCCUAACUGUAAACGAUGCGGACUUGGUGGUUGGGUGGCUUUGAGCUGCUCCAGUGCCGAAGGGAAGCUGUUAAGUCCGCCGCCUGGGAAGUACGGUCGCAAGACUGAAACUUAAAGGAAUU